rnacentral:lncRNA from 1 species
UCAUUCUAGAAUUGGGAGGUAAUAGAAAAGAGAGAAAUGGGAAAGUUGCUCAAAUGCAAGUCCAGUGAAUCAGAGAGAAAAGGCUCAAAGCAGCAGAACAAAGCUUCAAUAAAGAGAUAUUGUGACUUGGAGAGAUGGCCUUUUGUCCUUUGUUCUAUUACCAGUCAGAGGAUGGGGAGCACACCCGAGCCUGAGACAACAGCUCUGCUAAGUGCCCUUGAGAGGGCACGGUGGGGUCAGCACCAAAGUCAGACCACUAAAGAGAAAAAGAGAGAAAGACAGGAUUGCAGAGGAGAAAUGAGAAUGGCAGAAAAAAUAAUUUUUUAAGCCAAAAGGAAUCAGAGAAGAGCAGAAGUGCCUCUAGGAUAAAGCGUAGCAGGCAGUUAGGGAAAAAGGGCUGUUAACUACCUUGAAGCUCUGACUACAUUAGAAAGCCUCGCAAGACAGUCGUUGCUUGCACGGGCAGGUAGAGAACUUUUCCUGUCCAUUGUUCUUCUGAAUUAUAAAUCACUGACCUCUUUAUGAUUUCUAAAGGGAAAAUGACUUCAAGCUUCUUAGAGUUCCCCUAAGGCAUUCUCUAUAUUCAAUAUAAUAUGGGAAGCCCUGGGUUUGUCUUUGUAUGUUUCAUCUGCAGUGACCUGAAAUCUUCAUAACCCUCUUCCUUUCUCCACUUAUCAACUAAGGGGUGGUUGGCAAUAAGGAUGGGUGGGAGAGAAAAAAAAACAGAAUUUGAGGAGGAGAGCAUUUAAACCAUCAGACUGUGUGUUCUGUGACAUCAAAGACUGGCAACAUUCUAAAGGAAAAGCAGCUGUGAAGUCAUAAUUAUGUUCACUUCCCACUGGCAACUGGCAAGCCCUUUAUUUUUGUGCAUUCGGAACUCACCAAGAAUAAAUAAAGUCCAUUCCCUCCUUGAGGGGCUAUUCUGCCAUUCCAUCUAGGAUUUAAAAGUUUGCCAAUUCCUAAAACAUCUAUUGUUAUCAAUAGUCUUGUGUCUUUCACAAAGCGGACUUUACAAAAUAAGUUAACAGGCCAUGAGAGGAACAGUCACACAUACCAAGAAAGGUACAUACGGAGAUAAUUCCAAUCAAAGUGAGCACAGCCUACGCAUAAACAGGAUUUUCCAAGAAAAAAGCAUUAAAGUGCCAUAGAAUAUUAAAGAGCAAUUAAAAGAAUGAAGAUCUCUUCAUAUGCUGGAUAGGCGGAGUGACCCAGCAAUCAUAUGGACACCAUCCAUUCCAGUGACACUCAAACUUCAGCGUGCAUCAGAAUCCCUGCAAGGCUUGCUAAGACACAGACUGCUGCGCCUACCUCAGAGUUCCUGAUUCAUCAAGCUUGAAGUUAGAAGGAUUUCUCUACAGUUCUUUCUCUUUUUUCCAAUCUCUUCUGGAUGUUUCUUCGUCUCAAACUACACAGACAUUGUGGAAAUCAGUAUCUUCAUUUCAAGUCUAGGUGGGUCAAAUUUGAUUCUCUUGUAUUUUCACUCUUAAAAUAGCAUCUUGAACUUUCAUCUGUGAUCCAUCUAUAAGGAUCAAAUGUAAGGACUU